GCUGGGUGUGGUAGCUCACACCUGUAAUCCCAGCACUGUGGGAGGCUGAGGUGGGAGGAUUGCUUGAACCUAGGAGUUUGAGACCAGCCUAGGCAACACAGCAAGACCCCAUCUCUA
rnacentral:SRP_RNA from 2 species